rnacentral:rRNA from 1 species
GGCUCGCAGCCAACGCUGGCAGCAUGGCUAAAGAUGCAAGUCGAAGGCCGUAGCAAUACGGAGUGGCAGACUGGUGAGCAACACCUGGGAAAGUGCCUUUUGGUUCGGAACAACCCAGGGAAACUUGGGCUAAUACCGGAUAAGGCCUUCGGGGGAAAGAUUUAUCGCCAGAAGAUCGGCCCGCGUCUGAUUAGCUAGUUGGUGGGGUAACGGCCCAACAAGGCUACGAUCAGUAGCUGGUCUGAGAGGAUGAUCAGCCACACUGGGACUGAGACACGGCCCAUACUCCUACUGGAGGCAGCA